rnacentral:misc_RNA from 1 species
AUCUUUUUAAAUUACUAUUUUUAAGUAAAAUACAGUAUGAUACAAAUUUUUAAGAGUGGGUUUUAAGUAUAUUUGCUCCUAGUAAACUAGUGUACUUGUGGUUACCAAUUUGGGGAGAAUUGGUGACCUUAAGUACAAUAAUGAUCCUUCCGCAGGUUCACCUACGGAAA